UGGAGAGGAGAAAGCUUAAGUAGAGUGGCUCGGGCAUUUCAUCGAACACGUCAUGUGCAUGAACUAGAGUGGCAAGAGCAUGGCAUGGUCACACUUCAACAACCAAAAAACAGGAGAUAUGGCGGGCAGGGGCGAGGGUUUAUAUAGGCAAAACUUUAGUCCCGGUUCUUGCCACGCCCCGGGACUAAAGGCCCCUGCUUCCCGCCUUCUUGUCCGCCGAAAAAGGGCCUUUAGUCCCG
rnacentral:lncRNA from 1 species